rnacentral:rRNA from 1 species
GAGUGAUGAAGGCCUUCGGGUCGUAAAACUCUGUCCUCAAGGAAGAUAAUGACGGUACUUGAGGAGGAAGCCCCGGCUAACUACGUGCCAGCAGCCGCGGUAAUACGUAGGGGGCUAGCGUUAUCCGGAUUUACUGGGCGUAAAGGGUGCGUAGGCGGUCUUUCAAGUCAGGAGUGAAAGGCUACGGCUCAACCGUAGUAAGCUCUUGAAACUGGGAGACUUGAGUGCAGGAGAGGAGAGUGGAAUUCCUAGUGUAGCGGUGAAAUGCGUAGAUAUUAGGAGGAACACCAGUUGCGAAGGCGGCGCUCUGGACUGUAACUGACGCUGAGGCACGAAAGCGUGGGGAGCAAACAGGAUUAGAUACCCUGGUAGUCCACGCUGUAAACGAUGAGUACUAGGUGUCGGGGGUUACCCCCCUCGGUGCCGCAGCUA